rnacentral:rRNA from 1 species
AACCCACGUAUUUUGAAAAAUGCGGGGAUGAGUUGUGGCUCGGAGUGAAAGGCUAAUCAAGCCCGGAGAUAGCUGGUUCUCCUCGAAAUCUAUUUAGGUAGAGCCUCAUGUAUCACUCUAGGGGGUAGAGCACUGUUAUGGCUAGGGGGUCAUCCCGACUUACCAACCCCAUGCAAACUCCGAAUACCGUAGAGUACUAUCCGGGAGACACACGGCGGGUGCUAACGUCCGUCGUGGAAAGGGCAACAACCCAGACCGCCAGCUAAGGUCCCAAAUUUAUAGUUAAGUGGGAAACGAUGUGGGAAGGCUCAGACAGCUAGGAGGUUGGCUUAGAAGCAGCCAUCCUUUAAAGAAAGCGUAAUAGCUCACUGGUCUAAAUAAGACUUCUGGCGGCGAAGAUGUAACGGGACUCAAACUAUACACCGAAGCUUUGGAUGCAUACUUUGUAUGCGUGGUAGCGGAGCAUUCUGUAAGUCUGUGAAGG